rnacentral:rRNA from 1 species
CGCGGCCUAUCAGCUUGUUGGUGAGGUAAUGGCUCACCAAGGCGACGACGGGUAGCCGGCCUGAGAGGGCGACCGGCCACACUGGGACUGAGACACGGCCCAGACUCCUACGGGAGGCAGCAGUGGGGAAUAUUGCACAAUGGGCGAAAGCCUGAUGCAGCGACGCCGCGUGAGGGAUGACGGCCUUCGGGUUGUAAACCUCUUUCAGCAGGGAAGAAGCGAAAGUGACGGUACCUGCAGAAGAAGCGCCGGCUAACUACGUGCCAGCAGCCGCGGUAAUACGUAGGGCGCAAGCGUUGUCCGGAAUUAUUGGGCGUAAAGAGCUCGUAGGCGGUCUGUCGCGUCGGAUGUGAAAGCCCGGGGCUUAACCCCGGGUCUGCAUUCGAUACGGGCAGACUAGAGUGUGGUAGGGGAGAUCGGAAUUCCUGGUGUAGCGGUGAAAUGCGCAGAUAUCAGGAGGAACACCGGUGGCGAAGGCGGAUCUCUGGGCCAUUACUGACGCUGAGGAGCGAAAGCGUGGGGAGCGAACAGGAUUGGAUACCCUGGUAGUCCACGCCGUAAACGGUGGGAACUAGGUGUUGGCGACAUUCCACGUCGUCGGUGCCGCAGCUAACGCAUUAAGUUCCCCGCCUGGGGAGUACGG